AUCAAAGCAGCAUGGUACUGGCAGAAAAAUAGAAAUAUAGAUCAAUGGAGCAGGAUGGAAAACCCAGAAAUAAACCCAUGCAUCUAUGGACAAUUAAUCUGUGACAAAGGAGGCCUUUGGAGCUAAGAAAGGAGUCAUCAUAUCCACAUAAAAAUGGCGAUUGAAGCUGUGAGAUUGUAUGAUGUUGCCAAGCCUGGAAAUGUAGAAGAGAAGAGGGGCAAGAAAAGACUUAGAGGUGACAGACCUGCUCUCUACUUAAGUGCUUGAGAAGAAAAUGACAAAGGAAUGGGCUCUAGUCCCUUGUCACUUCUCGGACCAUCAAUACCUUCGUCUUUCCC
ensembl:lncRNA